UAACGCGUAGGAAUCUACCUAGUAGAAGGGGAUAGCCCGAGGAAACUCGGAUUAAUACCGUAUACCUCCUUAGGGAGAAAGAGGGCCUCUCUUGAUGCUCUCGCUAUUAGAUGAUAGCCUGCGUAAGAUUAGCUUGUUGGUGAGGUAAUGGCUCACCAAGGCUACGAUCUUUAGCUGGUCUGAGAGGACGAUCAGCCACAUUGGGACUGAGACACGGCCCAGACUCCUACGGGAGGCAGCAGUGGGGAAUAUUGGACAAUGGGCGCAAGCCUGAUCCAGCCAUACCGCGUGUGUGAAGAAGGCUCUAGGGUUGUAAAGCACUUUAAGCAGGGAGAAAAAGUUAUAAGUUAAUACUUAUGACCUUGAUGUUACCUGCAGAAUAAGCACCGGCUAAUUCCGUGCCAGCAGCCGCGGUAAUACGGAAGGUGCAAGCGUUAAUCGGAAUUACUGGGCGUAAAGCGCGCGUAGGUGGUUUGUUAAGUUGGAUGUGAAAGCCCUGGGCUCAACCUAGGAACUGCAUCCAAAACUAACUCACUAGAGUACGAUAGAGGGAGGUAGAAUUCAUAGUGUAGCGGUGGAAUGCGUAGAUAUUAUGAAGAAUACCAGUGGCGAAGGCGGCCUCCCUGGAUCUGUACUGACACUGAGGGUGCGAAAGCGUGGGUAGCGAACAGGAUUAGAUACCCUGGUAGUCCACGCCGUAAACGAUGACAACUAGCUGUUGGGAGACAAUGUCUUUCAGUGGCGCAGCUAACGUUUUAAGUUGCCCGCCUGGGGAGU
rnacentral:rRNA from 1 species